rnacentral:tRNA from 1 species
GGGCCCGUAGCUCAGCACGGUAGAGCGGCGGGCUUUUAACCCGUAGGUCCCGGGUUCAAAUCCCGGCGGGCCCG